AGCAGUGUGGCUCAGUGGAAAGAGCCCGGGCUUGGGAGUCAGAGGUCCUGGGUUCGAAUCCCGGCUCUGCCG
rfam:Ornithorhynchus anatinus chromosome X5, whole genome shotgun sequence.